UCAACGCGUUGGGAGCUCUCCCAUAUGGUCGACCUGCAGGCGGCCGCACUAGUGAUUCGUCAGUAGAUGCCCAGAGACCUGCCUUCGCCAUCGGUGUUCCUCCUGAUAUCUGCGCAUUUCACCGCUACACCAGGAAUUCCAGUCUCCCCUACAUCACUCUAGUCUGCCCGUACCCACCGCAGAUCCGAGGUUGAGCCUCGGACUUUCACGGCAGACGCGACAAACCGCCUACGAGCUCUUUACGCCCAAUAAAUCCGGAUAACGCUUGCGCCCUACGUAUUACCGCGGCUGCUGGCACGUAGUUAGCCGGCGCUUCCUCUGCAGGUACCGUCACUUUCGCUUCUUCCCUACUGAAAGAGGUUUACAACCCGAAGGCCGUCAUCCCUCACGCGGCGUCGCUGCAUCAGGCUUUCGCCCAUUGUGCAAUAUUCCCCACUGCUGCCUCCCGUAGGAAUCCCGCGGCCAUGGCGGCCGGGAGCAUGCGACGUCGGGCCCAAUUCGMCCUAUAGU
rnacentral:rRNA from 1 species